AUGAUAUUGGCUGUUUCUCAAUAUGCGUUCUUUAGCGAUCUUGCGUCCUUGUGUUCUCGCUAUACGUCAUCAUUAACCGUCGAAGUUAAAUUCCAAUUCUCAAGAACGCAAGUACAGAGGACGCAUCCUUCCGAGUUCGUUCUUCCAAGGAAGCUUGGCAAGACCGGUCUCCACGAGAACACAAGUCCGUUCUUUGCGUUCUUGGAAUUGAGAAACAGAUCCUCUGUAUUGUUAUUGUUACAUCUGUGAUAAUUGUCCUAUUUCCACAGAUUUAGAAAGAUAACUGAAACUUUAUAGUUAUUGUUAUCAAUAUAGAUAUCAUCCUUGGUGUGAACAGGGGGGUAAUUCCAAAAAGCAGGUUAUGUGACAUACCCAGGUAUGUUUGAGGAUAAGCGAGCGGAUAACCCUAGCUUUCGGUUCUAAAAUCAGAGGUCACUUUUAGGGUAUGUAAGUAACCAUAGCAACUUGCUCUCUGAAGAUAACCUGCUCCAGAGCAGGUUAUGUUCCAAAGUUAGUUAGUUAGUUAGCGCUAUCAGUGCAUGCAUGAUCAGCACAUGAUCUACUGACGAGCCUUCAGUGGGCGUGACAGAUAGCACACGAUAUAUAUUAUAUAUUAGUACAAUACCGUUAUAUAUAACUGUAUUGUAUCUCACUUAUAUGGUUAUUAUAUUUUAUUGGAAUAUCAGUUAUCUGUAUAAAUUAUAAAACACUAUUAUGACAAGGUAAUGUUUAAUGUACUAUAUUACAUAUAUUUAUUACUUUUUAUAUUAUCAUCUCACACAUGGAUUGGCAUUUUCUAUUAUGUAUUUCUAUAAUAAAAAUACAUAUCUGAUAUGACUUAAUAUAUAAUUAGCAUCAAACAAACAAUACAAUUAUUUUUCUCAAGGAUUAAAGAGUAAACGGAAAAAAAAGAAAAAUGAUUGCAAAACCAUCAAUUAGGUGGUGAUAUGCACUAAGCAUGUAAAUGACCAUUGAACAAAAGAAGAAGAAAGCAACAGCAUGGCGUGCUUUUUCUUAGCGUCCGUUUCCAUAGCAACUCAUCGAUUCGUCGCUCUGUUGAGAAUGUCUUGAGUCUUAAUCAGGAACAUACUCUGUGUUGAAUGAAUUUACUCCCGGACGCGUUUUUAGAACCACAUACCUCGAGUAAGCAAGGUUUGGGGUUAAUCAACCAUGAGUUCAGGGUUUAAUAGAUGGUAAGUUAACUGUGCUUUUUGGAAUACCCCCCUGGCCUUUUGACUUAAUUGUCUAAUGCAGCGACCAAAUCUGACGCAUAAAGAUGGAUGCAAGAACACGUGGAAUGCCUCUAACUCUGUGGAAAGUCAGUGAUAAACUUAUAUGAAAUGAUAUGAAAAUAAUGAAAAAAUAUAUAUAUAUUAUUUUCUAAAGAUUUUUUUUGUAAUGUGACUGAUUAAUGCACACAAUUUGAAUAAACAUCAUUCGGUGGCUUUUUUUUUUUUUAACAAAUGUUGAUUUAUGUAAAUAAUCUGAUUAAUUUAAUUUGCAUAUCAUGUAUUUAAUUUGUUUAAAAAUGUAUUUGACUGACAGUCCUUCAGUUAAUAUAUUCCAGUGUACAAUAAUACUCCACAAUGAGCCGCUCCAGACAGUCUCUUUCACACUCAGCAGACAAUUUGCAUUUUGUAAUCCCUGUGAAGCUGCUAUUUCCUUAAUUGCAUAAAGUCACUUAAAAUGUUUUCUAACCGUUCCUGCGAUGACCUCCCACAUGCUUUGAGAAGCCAUUGACGGAAAACUGCUGACUGAGAGAGAAAAAAGGGAACAAAAGACUGAGAGAGAUUGGUAGGAGAGUUUGUGUUUCUCCAUCCAUGCUCAGGUGUUUGUGUGUGUGUCUAUACAUCUGUGCCACAGUGUGUGUCUGAGUGACCUGCCUUUGGGCUCAUUGACCCAUGAUACUCGCUCGGCCAGUCCAGUUCUGCGUGUUGCUGUCAAGGGGUCACAAACAUAGCCGGAGAGCAGCUAUGUGUGAGACAAACUCCCCUCGUCUCUUCCGGCCUGCCAAUAAAGUGAGCCGUUCCAUACGCCCAGUAUGUGACCCUGUCUACCAUUAGGCCAUAAACCACAGCCAGCAGAAUAGAAGCAUUUAGUCCACUGCACAAUAGCCUUCUUACUCUC
ensembl:lncRNA